rnacentral:lncRNA from 1 species
UGGAGACCCAAAGGCCCAGAGAAGGGAAGCAAUGUGCCUAAGAUCAAGCAAUGAGUGAGUUUCCAUGCAGAGGCCAGAACUCAGCUCAGCCUUUACCCAUGCCUCCCCAAGCCCUUGCACAAAGCAGGGUGGGUUCUCCACAAAGAGUAUCCCCAAAUGAUGCUCAAGACCUUGAUGAUGAUGAGGGUGACAGUGUUCGCUACUGGUAUUAAAUGCUUACCCUAUGCUCGGCAGUGUUCUAAGUUCUUUGCCUGGAUCCACUCACUUUAAUCCACACAUAUCCCAAUGAAGGAGGUAAAAUUACUAUUCCCAUUCUAUAGAUAAAGAAACUGAGGCACAGAGAGUUUAAGCAUCUCACCUAAAAUCACACAGCGAAGAAGAAGCAGAGCUGAGACUCAUACAGGGUAGUCAGGCUCCAGUGCUGCAGAGUAAGGAAGAGUCUGUGAGUCCCUGCUGAGUAAGGAAAGUGACAUGGCAUGGUGGAUGCAACCUGAAUCAGAUGCCAGGUGGCCAGGGAGUCUGUCCCCACCUUGCUGGGUAAUGUGGUCAGUUCCCACCCUGGGACUCCCUUUACCUACCAAAAGGGAAAAGAGGCAGUUUAGCAAGAGGCUCUUAGGAUCCUUU